GCUCGGACAAAAAGGAAAAAAACGUUCUCAUCGCUGACAAUGUGCGACCUAAUAUAUAAAAGUGUGAAGUGCACAUUUGAAACACUAAAAAGAAGCGAAGUUGAGGAUGUUGUCAAAACGUGGCUCAGGCAUGCUGGGGAGAAGCUUAGAAAAAAUAACAAACAGUCUGAGAGAGCCAUUGAGCUGCUGGAGUGACAAGGCAGGCCUCACUAAAGUUCAGUAUGGGCCAACCACAGCGCGGAGGACUUUUUUGUGCAACCACAACUUUUCGUUUAAAGAAUAAUUUUCUCAUUUUAAUAAUCAUUUUUGCUUUUCAGUUUUUAAUGUUCGAGGAUUUUAUUUUAAUUGCUCAUUUUCUAGUCAUUUUUAGUCACACUAUUACCCAUUGCUGUAGAAGGCAGACAGACAGUUUUAUGUGCAUCAAGAGUGAUGCCUUAUGUAUUGGUGUUUUUUGUAAUAAAUUUUAUAUUUAAGCUUUUGUGAGCUUUUUUUUGCCAAAAGAAGCAUGUUAACACUGCAUUGCGAUGUGUACAUGAGAUAUUUGAUGAGUACGUCAGCAGUGAGAUUUACACAAUUCCAUGUUACAACACCACCAUAUAAUCACGUUCAUGGCUUAUUUAGAUGUGGACGUGAGCACAUCCUGGAGACAUACCUUGGUGGUCUAGAGAUGGUCCUGGAAGAAUGUCAAGAAAACGUUAACAGUAUAUAAUUUGGAGAAAGAAAAGGAUUUGGGUGCAGUGACAUUUACGCAAGUAAUUCCAUUGCACAGCACCAGUGUGUAAUCACAUUCACAGCUUAUUUAAAUGGACAGGAGCACAUCCUGGAAAGAUACACAAUUGGUCCAGAGAUGGUCCUGGCACCAUGUCCGAAGAACGAUAACAGUAUGUUCUUUGGACGGACAAAUGGAUCCGAGUAGGAUCAGUUGAGGACAUUUUAGGAUGACCUGAGGAUGUUGAAAUAUCCGCGAUUCCACAUCCUGCGGACAACCUCAGGAUGUCUUUGCGUUG